rnacentral:rRNA from 1 species
CCUACGGGAGGCAGCAGUGAGGAAUAUUGGUCAAUGGCCGGAAGGCUGAACCAGCCAUGCCGCGUGAAGGGCAGAGCCCUAUGGGCGUUAAACUUCUUUUGUGCGGGAGCAAUAAUGGUCACGUGUGGCCAGACGAGAGUACCGUACGAAUAAGCAUCGGCUAACUCCGUGCCAGCAGCCGCGGUAAUACGGGGGAUGCAAGCGUUAUCCGGACUUAUUGGGUUUAAAGGGUGCGUAGGCUGUGAGGUAAGUCAGCGGGGAAAUGCCCCCGCUCAACGGGGUGAAGUGCCAUUGAUACUGCCUUGCUGGAAUGCGGAUGCCGUGGGAGGAAUGUGUGGUGUAGCGGUGAAAUGCAGAGAUAUCACGCAGAACACCGAUUGCGAAGGCAUCUCACGAAUCCGCGAUUGACGCUGAUGCACGAAAGCGUGGGUAUCAAACAGGAUUAGAUACCCCAGUAGUC